rnacentral:rRNA from 1 species
UACGUAGGUGGCAAGCGUUGUCCGGAUUUACUGGGCGUAAAGGGCGUGCAGGCGGUCUGUUAAGUCUAGGGUGAAAGCUCCCGGCUCAACUGGGAGAGGUCCUUGGAUACUGGCGGACUUGAGGGAGGCAGAGGAAAGUGGAAUUCCCGGUGUAGUGGUGAUAUGCGUAGAUAUCGGGAGGAACACCAGUGGCGAAGGCGGCUUUCUGGGCCUUACCUGACGCUGAGGCGCGAAAGCGCGGGGAGCAAACAGG